GCUGGUUUCUUUCCUGGCUCCGCCCCUGGGCAGGUGACAGCGCCCUAGGGCUGGACUAGUCUCCGCCUCCCCGCCCUCCCCAUCUGGCACUUCGCGGCCACCGCAGCUACCGGGACGCUCCUGGAGCUCUGGGUCCUAGGCACCUGGAGGUGUGAGCGCUGCUCUGCGCCACACCAGUUGCCACAAAGGAGGACCGGAGUGCUCUGCGUGGGCGUGAGACCCGACCUCGGUCAGGUGGUGGAGCAGCUUCUGAGACCUGGGGUUUUUCAGGAACUAACUUGCCCAGUUCUUGGGAACAGAGAUUCUGGCCUAGUCUCCUGAACUGCCAAUUUGAAGCCUGUCCUGGAGUCAGCCUGUCUCAGACUAAAAUGGAGAAGGACACUUUCUGGAAGUUGCACAUCACAUCUGCAGGCACCCAAAAGCCGGGCUCCAUUUUCAUCUGGUUAAAGAAAGAAUAUGUUUGCAUAUUUUCACAUAUAUUUGGAUUCCUGCAAAAGACCAGAAGAGUAGAAUGGAUCUUCUGAAGCUGAACCUUCUAAAGGUGGCUGGCUAUAAACACACAUGUGGAACUGGAACUGGAUUUCAGUCCUCUGCAAGAGCAACAGACUCUUUUAAUACCAAGCCUUAAAAUGAUGUUGCUGAUGGGAACACUAGAGUCCCAACUGAUAAUAGGAAGUUAUUUCAUUUAACUAGAAUUUUUUUCUCAGUUACUUGGCAGUGAAUUUAUAAACUCAUAAGCUCAUAAACUCAUUAAGCUGAAUAGCUUAAUUAGCAAAAACAGACAAUGUUUAUUAGAUUCUGAGGUGGGCUCAAGAGAUUUCAGAACUGAUCAAUGGAAAAGAUAUGGAACGGGUUUUGUGUGGACAGCAUCUUAACAGUUUGUUGUAAUAGAAUUCCUUCACACAUGGCAUUAUCGAUGGCUACAGUUCUUGAUGGAAUGAGUAAGGAUGGGGUGAUACCCAAGAAGGAAGGAAAGCACAGCAUACAAAGUGGAGAGGGUCAUAGAAGGAUGCUACAUAUCAUAUGAUGUCCUGCAGCACCACAGCCAGCAGUUAAACCAGAUAGAUGCAAAAGAUAGCAACACUGAAGGGCCCUUAUAGCUGUAGCAUUUAUUUCAUCAAUAGCUAGCAUCUACUGGGUACAUUUUUUUCCUGGAAGAAAAAAUUGCAAAACCUGUAAAUGGCCAAAAAUAUUUUUAUUGAGGCAGUGUUACAAACAAUUGGAUAUGUAAACUUUUCAUAUCAGCAUGAGUAGGCUCUUGAGCUCACAAGUUGUAGGCUUGUGGAAAGAAAGAACUUAGGACUGGAGAUGCAGAAAAAAUGGUAAAAUGUACUUGUCUAAUCUGCACUGAGUCCUAGAUCUGACUCCCACCACCACACAGCUCAUUGUAGGCCAGUGGUUUUCAACAUUCCUAAUGAAGCCACCCUUUAAUACAAGUCCUCAUGUGGUGAUUACCCCCAAUGACAAAAUUGUUUCCAUUGCUACUUCAUAACUGUAAUUUUGCUACUGUUUUGAGUCAUAAUGUAAGUAUAUGUUUUCCAAUGGUCUUGGGUGAACCCUGUGAAAGGGUUGAGGGGGGUACAACCCACAGGUUGUAAGCUGCUGUUCUAUGCCUAGGACAGCCACAGUUAUAUGAUACCCUGUUUUGGGAGGGGAGAAGAAAGGAAAGAGUAAGAGGGGGAAAUAAAAGAAAGGAGAAAAGGAAAUAACUUGGGAUGGGGAUAGUCAUCUUUGGUUUAUUUGUGUAACAAUUCACACGACAGUAAUACAAUUCACUGGCCAGUGGCCAGUGGGCUAUCUCAACAAGGAAGGCAUUGUUGGGCAAGUCUGGCUACCUGACUUCAAUCCCUGGAACCCACACAAAAAUAGGAGAGAACUCACCCCUCAAAGUGUCCUCUGACUUCACAUAUUCCUCUCCAGACCCUGCAUAUUAAUAAUAAAUGAAAAUUAGAAAUAAAAAAUUCAUUGGUCAAAGAGCGACUAUUUACCUCUUAGAUUCUCUAGGCCCAGAUAAAACCUCAACUCUCUGUUCUUUGGCAGGUAACUUCUAAAAGUCAAAGAAUUGUUUGUUUAAGAUGAUGAGAAUGUCAGAAGUCUUUGAGAUUAGCUGGAUGCCAGGGAAUGGGACAGUGUUUGCUGUUCUGGGCACUUCCAGGAGGAAGUGGGGUUAUCUGUUGUUAAAAAUGGCCCAGACUUUGCAUUUACAUGUUUGAAUCUUCACCUGCUGCUGGUUGAAAAUGGCUGGUCUGGUGAAAAAUAUGAUUCCUAAAAGAAAUACAUGGUUUCACUUCAGGCAUCAAUGAGGGAACACCAGUUAGAAUUGUGAAUCUGUAUGCCAAAGGUGUUCAAGGGAGAAUGUCAACAAGGAAGUCUCAUAAAGGGGCCAGAGGAAUUUGGGACUUGCUAGUGAUAUCUAUUCUAAGCUAUACUUUGGGAUAUGUGGAUGCCACAGAACGAUAGCAACUUUCUCUUUAAACUUUGACAUGUUACUAAAAUUUAGAUUAAAACCAUAAUCCCGCUGUGCUACAUUCCGGUGGAUGGCAUAAAGAAUAUUUACUUCACUGCAUAGUCAUUUAGGAGCUCAGGUUAAAAGAGAAGCCCACCAUCCUGAAAUGGUGCCAUCCAAACUAUUAUAGACACUGGAGCAAGGAAAUAAAAUCUGAAUGGUGACACAUCCUUACAGUGAUCAGAAUUCAGAGCUUUAGAAGAACUACAAAAUGUGGGCGGGGAAGAAUAGGAUACACAAUAGUGGAGGAGUACUAUGUGGUAAUUCUACAGCUACAUUGGGAGGGGGUUAAAAUUUUAUUUUAGUGUGUGUGUGUGUGUGUGUGUGUGUGUGUGUGUGUGUGUGUGUGUGUGUGUGUCUGUGUGUCUGUGUCUGUGUGCCUGUGUGUGCAAGCUGUGGAAGACAGAGGACAAUUUUGGGAGGCUUGGUUUUCUCCUUCUCUGUGAGCUCAUGGGUGGAACUCAGGUCCUGAGGCUUGACAGCAAGAACCUUUACCUGCCCAGCCUCCUUUCUGUCCCAAGUUGCUUUUAGAGAUGUGGGUAUUUAGUUUGUUUUGAUUUCUUUUAAAGUCAGGCCUCAGGAGUCUUUGUUAACCUAAUUAUCACUGUGUAGAUAAGGCUGGCACUGAACCUACAGCCUUUGUUAACUGAUUCUCACUUUGUAGAUAAAAGCUGGCCGAGAGCCUGCUUCAGCCAGCUAAGUGCUGGGAUUAAAGAUGCAAAAGUAUGACCUUCAAGUUCUUGGGGGUUAACAUGUUUAUAUUAGUUUCUUAUAGGCCACUUAAUGCAUGACCACAGAAUAAUUGCAGGUCUAAAAUCCAAGAUGGGAAUCCAAAGGCUACUGUCGGUAUUCUGGUAACCAUGAUUGUGGCUCCCUCUGUCUUCAGCACAAGAGUGUUUAAUAGAGUCAUUCUCUUACAUCGUUCAACCUUUGUCUCUUCUGCUUCCCUCUAUUACACAGAACUCUUGAGAUUGUAUCCAAAAUUGAUAACCCGACUAUUCUUGCUAGCUUAAGGAUCAAGUAAUUAGAUUCCUAAUUUCAUCUCUUAUCUUAAUUCUCCUUUGCCAUAUAAUAUAACAUACUCACAGGUUCCAGAAAUCCAGACAGGAAUCCUAAUUUUCCUGCCUGCCUCAGUAAAACAUUUAUGUGUCUAUAUACUUGCUAAUAAUAUUUAUUAUGUUGUGCAAUGACUUUGCUAUAAAAUUCCAUAUUUUAAAUAUUGCAAGAAUCACAAGCUUCUUGUUAGUUCAUGAGAUGAUACUUGUAAUACAGUGCAUUUCCCUUUUUGUUUUAGAGAUAAGGAAGGAGAAAAAUUAUCUCAGCAAUAUAUUACCAGAGGCAUUUUUAGUGUUAGUUUCUAUAAUAAUAUAUGCUGGGUUUUAUUAUGUUUUCCUGUAAUUGUUUUUGUUGGGAAAUUUUUUCCUUGCUACUACUAAUGCAUUUAGAAGUAAAAAGCUAUUAGGGAAAAUGGUUACAGAAAAUAGAAUAAUUUUGUUAUGGUUGGACCAAAUAAAAUGAUACUGUUGAUUAAACUUGGCAGAAAAAAUACUGAAAAGUAUUCAGUAUGAUUUUUUUUAACUUUUACAGGUUACCAUGUAGAAAACAUGACUUAUAUGUACUUGGCAAAAAGAAUAGACAAAGGGAUAAAAUACUCAACCUCCUCAGGAUCAUAAUAUUUUUCAGACAUGAAGACAGAACUUGCUACACUUGGUAGAACUGAAGAAGUAUGUCAUAAGUAAGAGCUGUGUGUUGAAACAGGACAAGAGGAAGAAAGAUGUGGUGAGGCAAUAGUGUCGAAUACAUUAAUAAAAAUAAACACAAGGUGAUUUUAUCAAAAGGAUUUAUUCUUUUGAAAAUUUUUUCUUAAGAGAUUGAAUUUAUGUGGCUAAUAUACUCUUUCGACACAGAAAAGGUAAGCCCUGAUAUGACCUUUAAUUGUUCAGUGAUUUAUUAGCAAAAAACUUUCCUUCUCCUCACCACAAAAAUAAACAAGUUUUUUUUUCUUUUCAAUAAAAUUCACAUAACCUCACGACCCUUUUAUGUGACCAUGUUUCAGAAAAAAAAAUAUAAUUAUGGUAAACACUGCUGGUUGCUUACCCCUUCUCAUUUGAGUUUAUGAAUCAGUAACUUUUAGCUUUCCAUAAUAGCUCACAAUAUCAGUAUGCACAAUAGAAUAUUACCUGUCCAGUAUUGUUUGAUUACGAAUGCCCUAAGAGGAUGGGAGGGUGAUCUGCUUGUGACGUCAGUCAUCCCAUUGAUUAUCAGCUGUAGGUCUGGCUGGCUAGAGAGUUGUCCCUUUGCUCCCUCUCAGCUCCAAGUGCAUCCACCCCCAAAGCUGGGAGGCUGGGGAAGAUGAUAGCAGUCCCCAAAUAGAGAAGGACAAUGUAAUGUCUAUUCCUGGUUGUCAACUUGAUUAUAUCUGGAAUGAACUACAAUCCAGAAUUGGAGGGCUCACUGAGAUCCAGAUCUUGAGGCUGGAAGACACAUGUUUCUGACCUGAAUCUUGGCGUGAAGAUCUUGAGGCAUAAUGGCCAUGAAAAGCUUAGGCCCAGGCAAAGUAGGCCUAAAAUGGGCCUUUCGCAUUUAAUCCCAGGAGACUGAGGCUAGGAGAUCUGAGUUCAAGGUCAGCCCGGGGCAAAGCAAGUCUCAGAUCCAGCCCUGGUGGCACACACCUUUAAUCUGGGCCACACCCUCUGCUGGAGACCUACCGUAAUGACAUUGGAAGAAGGAAAAUUCUUUGACAGCUUGCAUUUAGUUGCCAGCACAUUCGUAAGAACCUACUUACAGAAGACCAGCUGAAGUAACUACCCUCAUGGGACUGAGCAACUACUGGAUUCUUGGACUUCCCAUGCACAGCUGACCACUGUUGGGUUAAUUGGAUGGCAGACUGUAAGUCAUCACAACAAAUUCCCUGGAUACAUAGAGACAGUCCAUGAGUUCUGUGACUCUAGAGAACACUGACUAAUACAGACAGUAAGGACAGUCAGUCAAGGACAUACAAGGAGCUGUAUCCCCUGCUAGAACCUUCAUACAAGUUCUGAAGUAAUGUUCAAGGAACAGCUCUCUACACUGUCACUUAGUGGGGAAUUUGACAUGUGGCCUUUUAUGUUUGCCACUUCUCCCCCUCCCCUUCCCCCCAGUCCAAUCCUAUUUUCCUGUCAAGUAUGAAGAUGGCAGGCAUCUGGUGUCUACUUUGUGGCUAGGACAAACUGGUCACAAUAUUGAAGAUGGUAGACGAGAAGGAUGGAAUGAAUCCAUACCCUUGUAUCAAGCCAAACCCAUCCAUGCAAUACUUCCUGCUUGUGAGGGACAAAGAACCCUCACCUUUCGGUUUUCAGUGCUUCAGUUGCAGUACUCGUUCUCUGAUCUUCUCAUUUGACAAUGAUGUGUAGCCUAAGCCUCUUUAGCAGAAAAUGGGCAUCUGGUUAUGAUCUCUCUUGGAUCAAAUGUUUUCAGGCACCUCACACAAUAACCUAUUUGGAUUUACUGAUCAGUCAAACGUAAAUGGCCACCAUUUACAAAUGUUUAUGUGGAGAUUGACACUAAGCUGAGUUUACCUCUUCAGAGGUAUUGGAAUAAGUUAGUGACUAAUUUAAAAAUUCUUGAAUUGGCCAUCAAAUUUUCAUUUUGCUUUUGUCUUACUGCAGCUCUUGUUUAAAUUACUUGGAAUAAUUGCUUUUCUGCACUAAAGAAUUUCAAACUUUGCAGUGACCUCUCAUGAGGAAUCUUCUUAUAGUAUCAUAGUUCUCAGGGUAUCAUGGGUGUGUGACGGAAGACUGGUGGGGAUGGUAUGGAACUACUGAGUCUCCUAUUUUCACCCAGUUAGUGCUUGUCUUGGUUACUGCUUGUUAUUUCAUGUUUGCGCUCUUAAGAUUUAACAAUAUGUUAACCUCUUUUAUGUUCAUUGGCAUCGUCUUCUGUUAACCCAGAUAUACGUACUGUUCAUUUAAUUUCCCCUGAUAGUUAUACUGCUUUGCAACUUCAGGAAUGUACUUAGUUCUCUCUCUCUCUCUCUCUCUCUCUCUCUCUCUCUCUCUCUCUCUCUCUCUCAAAUAUGUAGUUUCUGUCUUUCACUGAUAGUUAUUUUGCCCUACUUCAGUUCCUUAUUUAUGAUUCUUUUUCUAUUUUAUUUGCUAAAUAUCAUAUUAAACUACCUCAUAAAGUUUCAAGGAGCUGCUUGUGUGUUGACCACAUCUCCAGUAUUUUUCUACUAUGAUUUAGAUUUAAUAUGCGAUUUUCCAUCAGGGGAAAAUGAUGUUGAGAGCUACUGUCCUCACUGUUGGUGAAGGAAAGGGAUAUGGAGUUUUUAAAAGAUGUCCUGACCUUGACAUAAGUAGAUCUUUGAAAGUACUCCCUUAGAAGGAGUACUUCAUGGAUAGAUUUGUAAAUGAUUUCACAUUAUAUUUGAAGUUCAGUAAAUUCAUGUCUAUGCUAUAUUUCACUUUUUUAUUGAUGAGGCCUCAUGUUAAGACUAGAGUGGUUGUUUAGUAGAACUCUAAUGACCUCUAUAUAUUACUACAAUCUUCCAGAUAACCAGGGAAAAGCAGAGUAUUAAGAAGGUCCCAACUUUACCUCCUUAGUGCUUAUUUUGAUUUUCUCUCGUCUUAUGGGCUCUAUCAUUAUCUGUAAUAGACCAGCAGGCCACUCUUCAGUAGCAGGGUCCUGAGAGAGAAGACCAUGAGAUCAGAGAAGAUAUCAGAUUAUAGAAAACGGAAGGUAGGAAAGUUUAUGAGAACAGGAAGCCGUACACAAGUUCUGUCUUAUGCCAAGCAUGUUCCUGUGUUCAGAGGAGCUGUGUUCCUUUCCUAUAUAUCAGUUCAUUCCCAAGUCUCUGGCUUAACGGUAUUUCAGGUUCUGUCAAGCAUGUUUUUGAGAAUGAACUAGGUUUUUCUCCAUAUAACUGGACCUCAGUGAGCACCUCAUUUGAACAGUCUAGCCCUCAAAAAUCAUCUAGAUUUCUCUUCAUUUUCUGGAGGAGUAAGCCAUUUGUUGAUGCCCCAACCAUUAUCACAGUUUAUUGGGCUAUAAUGCUCACUGCUAGGGAGAAGUGCAUAUGGGCAUAGAGAGUUCCAUGUUUUGUUUUGUUUUAUUUUGUUUUGUUUUCCAAUAAGUUUUUACCUAUACUGCCAAAGCUCUCCUGAGAUUCUCAGUUUUCUUAGCUAGGGUGAUCCAUGGUGAUCUGGGAAGGAACAUGUCCCCAAGCCUUGGAUAGUUUUCCAUGAUAGAUUUCCAUGAACUUCUACCAUGCUUGGUCAGAUUCAGAUUUUCUUUCAUGCAUUGAGCUUCUCACUUUUUGUCACAUCUUAGAAUAAACAGCCCUUGUGAACAGGUUUACCUGGCUUUUGUGCUAUAUCUCAGCUCCCCAUUUCAUAAAUCUCCCAAAUUAAUUUUUAUGCAAAUCAUAAUCCUAAGUUAGUAGCUUAUAAUUAGUAGAAAUUCUAUGACAUAGUUCUCAGUGUAUAUUCAUAUUAAUAUACUCUUUUAAAAUAUAUGCAUGGGAAACAGACCUCUAUGUUAUAGGCUAUUAUAAUUUAUUUUGAGAAAGAAAUAGAAUACAAUUUAUACCAAAGAAAAUUAUGCAUUUAUUUGGAAAUUGUUAUUAUAGUGUAUAAAAUAGUCUAAAUUUGCUUUAGACUAUAAGAACAGCCAUUUUUAAUUCUUAUUUGUUACCAAUUUUACUUUAUAAAAGAUUGUUUGUAUAAGAUAUAAUGCUGAUUUUUACAUAUGUGUAAACAUCUGGAUAUUAUAUUGGUUGCUAUUAGUUUUAAGUCAAAAAAUAUUCAUCACAGUGUGUGAAAAUUUGCAGUAACGAAGUUUUAAAAUAUACUGUAGUCAUAAUAAGUCUUUGGGAUGAACUUAUUUUUAUAUUAUUGCUUUGAAGGAACCUGUGGAAAGAAUAUCUUGUAUGUUGUAUGGGUGUAUCAGCUAGCAAUUAAAAAACCUACAGCCUGUGACAUAGAAGGAAGUAGGAGAGGGGAGAUCAGGGAGGAGAACAAAUUCUUGGAUAGAGCCAGGCAGGAGACUUGCCCUGGAGGAUGUGGAGAGGGACACAUGGUAUCUGGGUACAGGAAACAGCCACGUGGCAGAAUGUAGGACACAAUGGUAUCUAACCAAGGUAUUUGUAGAUAUAUUUUGAGUCCGAGUCUUGUUUCUGAGAACAUAGGGCUGGGAAACAGAACUGGUCCUAACUUCAGCAGGAACCACCUGAAUGAAUUAGAACAAUCUUUAAGACAUGAUAUAACAAAGAUAUUAGUAUGUUCAAGAAUUGGCAGAAUGACAAUUGAAAAAAUUAGGAAGAGAUGAACAGAACUAGCGUUCAUCACACCAAUGUUUGAUUAGCUACUUAUCUCAUUGAUACUACCAAUAUCUAACAAGAAGCAACUUGAGGGAGGAGAAGUUUCUUGGGACUUGCAGUUCACGUGAUGUUCAUAGUUGCAAGGAAAGCAUAGUGACACAGUGGCAGGAGUUGGUCACAUCGUACCCACAGCCAGGAGGCAGAAGAAACAAGAAGUAGGGACAGACUAUAAAACCCACAGCACCCUUAUCCCUGGAUGAUUUUCUCCUGCAAAGAUGCUGCAUCUUCUCAAGAUUUCUCAGCCUGCCAAGACAGACUGGCUGGGACCCAAGUUUUCAAACUCAGGAGCCUAAAAUGGGCCUUUCGCAUUUAAAUAACAGUAGUGGGUCUGUUGCUGUUGUUCUCUGAGUGGGUUUGACGUCAAUUCAUUUGUUUAUGACAAACAGAAUUCUUCAUAUUGAUUAAGUAAACUUUCUGAAAUGGUUAUGACCUUGCUAUAUCAAAUCUCACCAAGUAACCAGUAAAUCAGGGGCUAGGGAGAUGGCUCAGUGUGUAAAGUGUAUACUGAACAGGUAUGAGGGCGUGGAUAUGAAUCUUCAACUCACAAAUAAGAAGCCGGACACGGGGCUGGGGAUUUAGCUCAGUGGUAGAGCGCUUACCUAGGAAGCGCAAGGCCCUGGGUUCGGUCCCCAGCUCCGAAAAAAAGAACCAAAAAAAAAAAAAAAAAAAAAAAAGAAGCCGGACACAACCACAUACACCUACAAAAUCAGCACUAACAGUGGGUGAUUAGAGAGACUCCAAAGCUGCGGGCCCAGCUUACGUUGCCAAAUCACUGGGAUCCGAGUUUACUGAGAAAAUCUACCUCAGUAAAUAAGAUAGAGAACAAGGGAUGGAGACACUUGACAUUGAUAUCCUGCCUCUGAAUCUACACAUAAAGACAGAUGCAAUACCCCUCUCCCCAACCUACAUACGAUAAACAGUGUUAUACAAGUAAACUAUAAAAUUAUCCCAGAUUAGGGAUUGAGACAUAUAUUAUUCAACUGCUUAUUAAGUUUGUAAGCAAUACUACAACAAAGUCGAAUUCAUUUCACAAGAAGAUUAUUCUAGAAGCAGCUGUACGGAAACAGUGAUGGACUAAUAGUAACUAAUGAAGCAUUCCCCAGCAAUGACAGUCUAAGAGGAAACUGCCAAACCAGAGGUUCUAGAGUGAGGAGGGGAGGACAUAUUAUAAUAUGUCAAGUGUAAUUUAUAAUGGAGUUACUUAUAAUGGGAGAGAGAUAUGUCUUAGGUCCAGCCCCGUACAACACAUUGGUUCCCUGUUGCCACCAUGUGCUUUCACACUGGUACAGGCAGUGUGGCAGCAUGUGCAUCAACCUUGAGCUACAGUAGGUAAACCUGAGCAGUGGAAUUGGCCAGGUGCAACUCUGGUGCGCUUGUGCGAUGGGGAAAGCAACACCCACAGAUGACCCUUCCAGCUAUUUUCUUUUCUGCUGACUUACCUUUUCUAAACGUCUGAAAUUCUCAAAAUUCUAUCAUUUAGAGUCAAAAUCUGUCCCUUCUCUUUGUCCUGAUUCUUUGUUCUCAUUUUUACUUUUUUUGACUUAAUUUCUUGGAAUGUUUCCAUGACUAAAAUCAAACCAACCAACAAAUAAAACUCAAAAAUUUACAACCAUUCAUUUGAUGUCUAGUAAGUUCUUCAAAGAUAAUAUAACCAAACUACACUUUUUUUUUUUUUUGAGACAGUUCCACUUUGCAGACCAAACAAUAUUCUGGUACUUUCUCUAUAAAAUAGAAUAGCCUCGAACUCCUAGCAAUGGUCUGGGCUCUGCCAACCCCAGGGAUUUGGGUGACAGACAUAUCUCAAAACUACAGAGGAGCAUCACUUUAUUUUUAUUUUUAUUUAUCUAUUUAUUUUUAAAGAAUUAUCUUUUAAGUACACUGUAGCUGCCUUCAGACACACCAGGAGAGGGCAUCAGAUCUCCCUACAGAUGGUUGUGAGCCACCCUGUGGUUGCUGGGAUUUGAACUCUGGGCCUCUAGAAGAGCAGUUGUGCUCUUAACCACUGAGCCAUCUCUCCAGCCCAGAGGAACCCUUUCAAUGUUUCCCCAAGUGCUGUGAUGAAAGUCAUGCCCAGCUCAAGGCUAAGAUUGCUGACAUUAAUUUAUUGUUUAUUUCUCUUAUUCCUUUCCACCAGUCUAUAAUUCUGUCACCUCUGCCACUAGAGUUAAUGAGGCUGGGAUCUGAACACUGACCUCACUGCACGGCUGUUGUUCAGUCAUCUUUUUGGGUACCAGUCUAAAAUCUCUAAAAGCUCCCGCCUGACCUCCCUGUCCAUGCUUUAUUUUGUUCUGUUACAGCACAGGGUCUAAAGGACUACGCGGCUGUGGGACACACAGUAACACUAAGCAGGCUGGGGCAGGAUGGUCUGAUUUCCUUCCGUGUUUCAGUUUGAAAGUUUUACACAUGUAUAUAAUUCAUGGAGCCAUUUUCAUUGCCUAUGCUCAGCACCCCAUGCUCAUCCCCAUAUCUCUCCUACUGGAGCCCCUCCCUCUUUCCAGCAUCUCUCUUCCUUUCACAGAUUCCUGAUUGUGGCCCUCUGAGUUAAAUUAGGAAAAAUUGCCUGACUUUGGUAGGGAAGUGACUUGAGAGGCUAUGUCAUUGAAGAAAGUGAUACUCCUCCCUCAACAGCAUGAAUUGCCAAAGUCCCCGAGGGAAGACAAGGGCCUCUUGGGUUCUUCUUUCAGGUGUGAUUGCACAUUGAUAGGCCCAGUUUCAUGCAGGUUUUGUGCAGACAGCCAUGGCUACAGUGAGUUUACUAGUGGAGUCCUCCUGUCACGUCCAGAGUGUACCUCUUACUGUGCUUCUCAUCCAUCCUCACCUCUUACAUUCCUACACCACUUCUUCCAGGAUGUUCCUUGAGCCUUGGAGGGGUUGUUAAAGCUGUCUCUGUUGGGGCUGAGAACGCCAGCCAUCAAGUUUUCAUGGCUCUUCGACUAGUUGCAUUGAAACCAACCCAGAUUAUAUAGUGAAUCCCAGGCCUACGUUGGUCACAUAGUUAAUUCUGGGUCAGCCUAAACUCCAUAGUCAGGCCCAACCACAAAAUUAGCAAGUGGCUUAAUUAAUUUUAAAAACCGAGGAGGGGAAAAAAAAAAAACCCUAUCAGUCAGCAUCUAUGCCUUUAAUCUCAGCUCUUGGAAAGUAGAGGCAGGCAGAUCCAAGUGAGUUUGAAGACAGCCUGAUCAACAGAGAAAGUUUCAAGUGAGCCAAGGUUACACAGUGAGACCCUGUCUUGAAAUCUAAAACAGCCAAAAUACAACAGAAUAAAUUGCCCAACACAAGGCUAAUCGUGACCAUCCUAUCUGUGGCCUUUCAUUAAGGUAAAGACUCAAGUCUGGAGAAGUGCUUAACUCUCCAGUACUCACCAUCUCUAGGAUUCAUCCCACAGAACUCAGGAGCCCAAAAGUCUGAGUGGAUGGAGUGCUGAGGUUCAAGAGCCCUUGUGUCCAUCAGGGCUCUCUUGAUACAGGUCAUUUGAACUUGUCCCUCUUAGAGAGCACUACACGGCACUUCCUUAGAAACUGAGGGACCUUCCACCUACAGUAACAGCACUGACCCUGGUUUCACCUCAUUCAUUUAAAUGGCUGUCAUUUUAAUUCAAGGUGCCAAUCAUCAUUAAUUGACAUGUUAACAUUUACUUAUCACUUGUCCCUACAGACACAUGCCAUGUGUGACAGAAUUAGACAGAAGCAAAAGACAAUGUAGACAUGUAUAAACUAGCCUGGGGCUAGAAAAUUUGUCUGUUUUAGUUGCUACUCUUUCCUUGAUGCCUAGAACAGUGCCUUCCAUAAAACAAACACAGAAACAACAAACCAAAACAAGCUUCUUAGGCACUGAUGAGCAAAGGACCAUCUGGGUAAGAGAAUGAAAGGGAAAUAAAGGGUCAGGUAAGCUGUUUGUUUCUUCCACUCAAAUGAUUCGAUUUAUUAAGAUUUCUCCUGUUCUUUUCAUUUCAAAUUCAAACAAAAUCAUAUCCACAUAUGAUCUUCUGGACUCAUCCAAAGGGCUUGUAUCACAUCUUCAGCUCUGCCCUCUGUAGAACUCUAGGCUCUGGUUGACUCUACUCCCCUACUGCUACUGUUCUUGGUGAUCAUCCUAUGGUAAUGCUCUCUCAAAUAUACUGGGGUCUUUGGCUACAACUAGGUUUCACUAAUAGCCUCUCAUAGAUUCUCUUCGUGGUACCAAGCCUCAACUUCUUUGCAUGACCCCGUCAGUCCUAAGACAUCAACUGCAAGUGAGGCUGCACCUUCACCAAUGUCCUUCCCUGGCCUCUCACAGUGCCAGGUCUCAACUGCUCUCCAUGACCACUUCAAAAUCCAUGACCUCCUGGCUGAUUGUUAAACAUUACCAAGUCCAGCUGCAGCACAAGGUUCAACCUUGCUAUUCUACAACACAGUUUCUUUGUGCUCUCAAAGAACAAUUUCCAGAAGAUUUUACCUUAGUGAUGUUGGUCUCUUCUUAAUCACUGCUCAUUUCUUAGCUCCAUCUAGCCAACAUCAACUGUCCCAGUAGUCCAUUCUAUUUUUAACUCUAAAGCCAGAGCCACAUGACUGAAACUGCUGAAUUCUGCUGCUUGCUUGAGCUGAAACAUGGCCCCUUUGUUCUAUUACAUCAUCACCAGCUUUCUCUUUUCCACCUUCUUCACUGCCUAAGUGUGACUGUCCUGGAAUUUGCUCUUUACAUUGACCUUUAAUUCCAAACACUGGGAUUAAACAUGUGGUCCACCAAGCCUGGACGUAAACUUUUCUCUUAGAAUUUUCUCUGUACCAGGCUGGCCUUGAUCUCAGAGAUCUGCUUGCUUUUGUCGCCUGGAAUUGAAGGAGUGUACCACAUUGAUGGGGCCUAAUCAUUUCAUGGGCACUAUGCCUCAAGAUCCAGAACAAAAGCCUGCAUGCAUCAUUUCUAGAUUGUAGUUCGUUUCAGAUGAAAAGUCCAAGUAAAAUCAAUAACCACACAAUAAUAACACCUAAUAUAAUAUAACUGUUGUUCAAUUAUUCAUGCAUAAACAAUAAGCUUAGCUGGGAGGGAUGUUGUGACAAAGUCACGACUCCCCUAAUCUGUUCACUUCCUUGAAUACAGGAUUCAGCUCCAGUUCACUUCCUGGUGCCCCUUGUUUACUAGAACCAUACAUUUUAUAUUUUUCUUUUCUAAUCUUGCUAUGCUUAUUCAAAACGCUCUUCAUGAGGCUUAACCAGGGAACAAAGUCUCUGCUGGGCUUUUUUGAGACUUCCUUUGUCAAUGCGAUUAAUAUAAAUCUUUUCACCAUAGAGUCAGAUUCUUUGGACAAGGGCAAAGAGCAGCCACAUUCUUCACCAAAAUAUCACAAGAAUAGUAUCUUGGCCACAUAUUAACGUUCUUCUUUUCUGAAGCCUCUAGAGCCAGACUUCCACAGUUCUAAUCACCCUCAGCAACUAACUCCUCCAUAUUUCUACUAGGAUGAUCCGUUAAGCUCCUUAAAGCAUUCCAUGGCUUUCCAAACCCAGAGUCCCUAAAUCCCUAGUCUUCUAUACAAAAGCAUGCUCAGGCCUAUUACAUCAAUACCCCAGUCCCUGGUACCAACUUCUGUCUUAGUUAGGGUUUUACUGUUAUGAACACACACCUUGAAUUAUAAGGCAAUUCUUAUAAGGACUACAUUUAAUUGGGACUGGCUUAAAGGUUCAGAGGCUCCAAUAUUAUAAUAAUGAGCAGUCCAUUAUUAUCAAGGGGAGAACAUGAUAGCAUCUAGUCAGGAGUGGUGCAGGAGGAGGAGCUGAGAGUUCUACAUUGUCAUCUGAAGGCUACUAGAAAACUGGCUUAUGGGCACAUAGGAAGAGGGUCUUAAAGGCCAUACCUACAGUGACACACUUUCUCCAACAAGGCCAUACCUACUCCAACAAGUCUAUACCUCCAAAUAGUACCACUCCCUUGGUCAACCAUGAACAAACCAUCACAGAUCCUGUGGGUUUUUGUGUGUGUGUGUGUGUGUGUGUGUGUGUGUGUGUGUGUGUGUGUGUGUGUGUGUAUGCGUGCUUUUUGGGUUUUUUUUUUUUUUUUGUUUUAUGCUAUGUUAUAGAGAUUAAAGUCUUUCUAGUCCUUCUUAGAUUUUGAUUUUUAUGAGAAGUUUUCUUAAUCUAUUUCCUGCUUCAUAUCUAGCCUAUCUGGCUUCUAUUUGUAUUGUAUUUCUACAGAAAACCAACUAUAUCUGAGAAAUCAUUUGACUUCUACAUAUUUUUGCAGACGAGGUAAUUCCAAAUGAGAAAAUUUCUAUUUAUAAAUGAAUUAAAAAUACACUUACAUUUUAAAUCAUAAUAUAUCAGGUGAUGUUUCAUUUUUCUUUUCAAAUAGACAUUUCCCUAUUUUUAGAUGUGUGCACAUGUAACUUUGUAGGUGUGUGCUUGUCAUGGCAUACAGGUCAGAAACCAAAAGAAUUUGGCUGGACUUUGUAUUAAAUAAGAAAACAGAUUAAUAUGUGAUUAUGAAAAUAUCAAAUAUCACAUGUCAGUGGAUAGGACAUACUGAUAUCACCAAAACAAUGGCCAUUAGUUUCUAAUUAUAUGCCAAAGGCAUGAUAUUAUUUUGCAAAGAUAAGAAUAAUUGUACCUGGCACACUUUGAAUCAUAACACACUAGAAAACAAACAUAUGGAGGUGUGUGAUUUAUGGAAGUUGUUCACUAAUCUGAAUGAUUGAACAGUGCACUUCAUUGAAGGGUUGUUAAGUACUGGUUAAUCUGAGGAUUAGGAAAAUCUGUCCACUUUAAAAUGACAAAUAAAUACAAAGUCUCCUGAGGAGAGUGAUUAUUUGACAAUAUGGUAUUAUUUCACACUUUACAGACUACAUGUUACAUAAAUGUAAUUUUAUAUGAUCCCCAAACCCAAAAAAAAUCCAAUAUAUUAUAAUAGUCUCCUUAUCCUGGUGCUCUACAACCAAACCCAUACAAUCUUCAAAUAUGGUAUAAUGUAAUUCCAAUCACAUCUAAUUACUAAGUAAAUAUUGCUUCUGAGUAAAGAGUAAUAGCUUUAGAUUAAUAUUUCAGAAAGACUUCUCCAAGUUGACUCAUUGUCGUGAUGAGAGAGAAACUCUUCCUACCAUUCCACCUCAGUGUCAAUUUCGUUUUAACUAGGAGAGAUGCCCUUUUUGUGUGUUUGAGACAGUAUGUGUCUAUGGUGGAGAGGGAAGUAUUGCUCUAUAGUGUGUGGUCUCCUGGUGGUGCUAUCAAAAUUCACUGUGCUAUCACUGUAGAGUGAUAGCAUACCAUAUUUAUUCCUAAGAGAGCAGCAAUAUAUUUUCUUUAAUAAGUACAGUCUAUUAGAAACAAAAAUCUACCAAAAUAGGGAGAGGAAAGGAAAAUUUUUAAAUGGCCUUGCUAGUAAGAUUUGAAGACUGAUAAUCGAAUAGUACACAAUGUUAGUACUUGUGGGGGAGAGCAUUAAAACCUGUUAUCAUAUAAAAUUAUAAUCACAAUCUUCCAGCAAAUACUUUAUAAGGCUAUGUGGUAAUUUGAAGAUGCUGGUCCCAAAGGGAGUGGUUCUGUUAAGGGUGGGUGGUCUUGUUGGAGGAAGUGUGUCACUGUUGGGGAUGGGCUUGGGAGGUCUUGUCUCCUCUGAUACUCAGGCUCCACCCAUUGUGGAUGAGAGCUUGCUCCUAGCUUCCUGAGGAUGCUAGGCUUUUCCUGGUUGCUUUUGGAACAAGAUGUAGAAUUCUCAGCUCCUCCAGUGCCAUGCCUGUCUGGAUGCUGCUGUGUUUCCCCCUGUUAAGGUAAUAGACAGAACCUCUGAAUGUGUGAGCCAGCCCUGAUUAAAUAUUUUCCUUUAUAAGUGUUGCCUUGUUCCAGGACCCAGCAGCGAGGACAUUAGCCGAAAUACCCAGCAAAGGGGAGAUAGAACUUGUAGAAACCAUAUCCAGUGGAUCGGCAUGGCCCCUAGUUGAGGGAUGGAACCACCAAAAAUAUUAAUCCAGAAUUCCUUGUGUCAAAAGGAAAUGCAAGGACAAAGAGUGGAGCAGAGACUGAAGAGAAGGCCAUCUAGAGACUGCCCUACUGAGAGAUCCAUCCCAUCUGCAGACACCAAACUCGGACACUAUUGCUGAUGCCAAGAAGCCCUUGCUGACAGGAGCAUGCUAUAGCUGUCACCUGAGAGGCUCAGCCAGAGCCUGACCAAUACAAAUGCAUAUGCAAACAGCCAAGCAUCAGACUGAGUUCUGGGACCUCAAUGGAGGAGUUAGGGGAAGGACUGAAGGAGCUGAUUUGGUUUGCAAUCCCAUAGGAAGAACAACAACGUCCACCAAUCAGAACCCCCAAAGCUCCCAGGGUCUAAACCAUCAACCAAAAAGUGCACAUGGAGCAACCCAUGGCUCCAACUGGAUGUGUAGCAGAGGAUUUCCUUAUUGGGCAUUACUGGGAGGGGAGCCCCUUGGUCCUAUGGAGGCUCCAUGACCCAGGGUAGGGGAAUACUAGGUCGCUGAGGCAGGAGUGGGCAGGGGAGCACCCUCAUAGAGGCAGAGGGGAAGGGGGAGAGGAUAGAGGGUUUGUGAAGGGGAAACUGGGAAGGGGGAUAGCAUUUGAAAUGUCAAUAUAUAAAAUAACCAAAAAAAAAAAAAAAGAGUUGCCUUGGUCAUGGUUUCUCUUCACCACAAUAGAAAUGCAGCAGCUAAGAUUUUCGUUACAAUGUGAAAACGUGCAUUACAUAUCUUUCCUAAGACUCACAAAUAUUUUAUAUAAAUUUUACAAAAAAUGUCUCCAAGUGUGCAUGCAUCUAUAAUUUAUAAACUUUGUUUUAUCUGGCAUGGCUUUCAAUGUGUACUUAGAAGCAUGUCAGUGAGCUAGAAUUACAAUAGUAAGAAAGGAAUAUUAUUCAAUAAGCAAAUAUGUAUCUGAACCUAAAGCGUGUGUUGUACAUAGGCACCUGUUCGUGAAGAAAAACAAGCUCAACUUCCCUCUUUCCUGGUGCCUAAUGACCAACAAUUUCAACUGUACGCAUUUAAAGUCAUAACCCACUCCUGUCCUCUUCUGCCCUCCCCACGGCUUCUCAGUAAACAAAAUGUCUUAGCUUUAGGUAAGGGACAAAGUUCAAGAGGAACUACUCUUUGACACAGACAUUUGCCUUUGGGAUUAUUUUAUCUCCUAAAUCUCUGGGCUAAGAGAAACAAUACUGUAAAUAAAUAUUGUAAAUCCUCUAACCAUGGCUUAUUUAGACAAAGACAAAUUAAGAAAGUAAUACAGUAAAUGUUUUGAAUAACUUCCUACCAUAUAACUCUACUUCAGUUGAAAAGGAAAAUAAUUUACGGACUCUGUCUUUUGUCAAUUGCAUCACCCUCAAGUUCCUCAGUUCCCAUUUAAUGACUUAUUAAUUUAUUAUUAAUAUUAAUACUGAUUCCAGUUCAUUACCUGAAGUUUCUAUUUAUAAACAUUGUUCAAAAAUUAUUUUGCAUAAAUUGAGACAAAAAUGUGCCAGGUACAAUAUGCUUGUUUUUAUUUACUAUAGAUAUUAACUUCUCAGAAAAUACUGAAUUUUUAUCAACUUUAAUAUAGUAAUGAAAUGUGUUAUAAGCAGUGUAUUUUCCUCUUUAUAAACACUGUGCUCAUCAAAAAGUAAAAGAGCGGGGUUGGGGAUUUAGCUCAGUGGUAGAGCGCUUGCCUAGGAAGCACAAGGCCCUGGGUUCGGUCCCCAGCUCCAAAAAAAAAGAACCAAAAAAAAAAAAAAAAGUAAAAGAGCUUUGUAUUUUGCAAACAAAUGCCCAUGAAUGGCCAACUUUGGAAAAUAUUGAAGCUGAUUUUUUAGUGGAAAUUUACCAGCAUCCAGGCUUCCUUUGAGCCUCCAGAAAGGCUUUGUACAGAAGACUUUCACUCUGUGAAAUUUCUCAUGUGAACUUGUGAACUUGGGCCAAUCCCUUCCUAACACCUCUGCAGGUUUUAUUGUCUUACCACGUUAUUCAUACCUAAUCAGAUUAAUGUCAUUGAGAAUCUUUCCCCUUCGUUAAACAACUACAUUAAGAUGAGAAAAGGAAAAAAAAAAUACCACAAGAAAUUGAGAAUAAAAGUCAAACACAGGAAACAAAUGAUCUUUUGUUCUAAAGUUAGGGCAGUGUUUUAUGAGAAGGUACAUUCCUGAUUAGGUAAAGGUGAAAGUCUUUAUAGAAUUGAAGUCUGUCUGCUUGUAAGUUUCAUAAAAUUUGAAGAACCAUUCUAAUCAAAGUAUAGACAUGUUGCUCAUUUGUUUCCUAGGGCUUUAAACCUUUUGAUGAAUUUAUUACAACUGAAGGAGAUCAUGGGAAAACAAUUUGGAAAGGAAGAAGUUAAAGUAUCUUUAUUUGCAGACAAUAUGGUCAAAUACAUAAGUGAUCCUAAAACUUUGACCAGGAAACUCCUGCAACUGGUGAGUUCUUUCAGUACCUAGAAAUCAGAAGCCAUCUCAUACGCAACGUGACAAAUGGGCCAAGAAAGACAUCAGAGGAUCAACAUCCUACAAUAGCCACAAAUAAUAUCUUGGAUUAUCUCAAACCAAGCACAACCACAAGGCAUGUAUGCUAAAGACCUUGCAACACUGAAAGUAUACACACACACACACUCACACACACACACACACACACACACACACACACACACACACACACACAUUAUUUGUUAUUUUAUUUACAAUUCAAAUGUUACCCCUUUCCUGGUUUCCCAUCUGGAAACCCACAAUUCCACCCCCUAAUCCCCCUGCUACUAUGAGGGUGCUUCCCCACACAUCCACCCACUUCUGCUUCCCUACCCUGGCAUUCCCUAAACUGGGACAUCAAGUCUUCACAGGACCCAGGACCUCUCUUCCCAUUGAUGUCCUACAAGGCCAUCCUCUGCUACAUUUGUGGCUAGAACCAUGGGUCCCUCCAUGUGUACUCUUUGGUUGGUGGCUUAGUCCCUGGGAACUCUGGUGUGUGUGUGUGUGGGGUGUCUGUUUGAUAUUCUUGUUCUUCCUUUGGGGUUGCAAACCCCUUAAGUUCCUUCAGGCCUUUCUCUAUCUACCUGCCUAAGAAUAUCAUGAAGACAUUGUUUUUAAUAGCACAGUAGUACUCCAUUGUAUAAAUGUACCACAUUUUCUGUAUGCAUUCUUCUUUUGAAGGACAUCUGAGUUUUUGACAGUUUCUGGCUAUUAUAAAUAAGGCUGCUAUGAACGUAGUGGAGCAUGUGUAUUUGUUAUAUGUUGGGAUAUACCCAGGAAUGGUAUAGCUGAAUGGCCAGGUAGAACUAUGUCCAAUUUUCUGAGGAACCUCCAGACAGAUUCCCAGAGUGGUUGUACCAGUCUUCAGUCUCAUUAAAAAUGGAGGAAUGUUCCAUUUUCCACAUCCUCACCAGCAUCUGUUGUCCCCUGAGUUUUUGAUCUUAGCCAUUCUGAUUGGUGUGAGGUAGAAUGUCAGGGUUGCUUUGAUUUGCAUUUCCCUGGUGAAUAAGGAGGUUGGACAUUUCUUUAGGUACUUCUCAACCAUUCGAUAUUCCUCAAUCAAGAAUUUUUGUUUAGCUCUGUACCCCAUUUUUUGAAUAGGAUAGUUUGGUUCUCUGGAGUCUAACUUCUUGAGUUCUUUGUAUAUAUUGGGUAUUAGCCCUUUAUCAGAUGUAAGGUUUAUAAAAAUCUUUUUCCAAUCUGUUGGUUGCCAUUUUUUCCUAUUGACAGUAUCCUUUGCCUUACAGAAGCUUUGCAAUUUUACGAGAUACCAAUUCUCAAUUCUUGAUCUUAGAGCAUAAGCCAUUGGUGUUCUGUUCAGGAAAUUUUCUGAAGUGUCACAUGUGUUGGUGGCUCCUCCCUACUUACACUUCUUUCAAUUUGAGUGAGUCUGGUUUUAUGUGGAGGUCCUUGAUCCACUUGAACUUGAACGUUGUACAAGGAGAAACGAAUGGAUCAAUUUUUGCAUUCUUCUACAUGCUGGCCUCCAGUUGAACCAGCACCAUUUGUUGAAAAUGUUGUGUUUUUUUUCCUAAUGGAUGGUUAUGUUGUGGCCUUCAUUUUCAUUAAAUUCUAAAAAAAGUUUUUGAUUUCUUUUUUUUAUAUCUUCCUAAACCAAGUUGUCAUUGAGUACAAUUUUGUUCAGCUCCAUGUGUAUAUGGGCUUUCUCUCAUUUUUGUUGUUAUUGAAGACCAGCCUUAGUCUGUGGUGAUCUGAUAGGAUGCAUGGGAUUAUUUCUAUCUUCUUAUGUCUGCUGAGGCCUGUUCUGUUACCAUUUAUAUCGUCAGUUUUGAAGAAAGUACCAUGAGGUGCUGAGAAGAAGUUACAUUAUUUUAUUUUAGGAUGAAAUAUUCUAGACAUAUAUGUAAAAUCUAUUUGGAUCAUAACUUCUGUCAGUUUUACUGUGUCUCUGUUUAGUAUCUGUUUCCAUGUAGUAGCCUAGGCUGGCAUUUGUGUUCUUUUAAGGUCUGUAUGACAUCUGCCCAGGAUCUUCUGGCUUUUAUACUCUGUUGGGAAUUCUCGUGUAAUUCUGAUGGGUCUCCCUUUAUAUGUUACUUGACCUUUUUCUGUUCCCUGUUUCAAUACAUUUUCUUUUUUCUGUGCAUUUGGUCUUUUCAUUAUGUGGUGGGGGAUUUUUUUUUCUGGUCCAGUCUUUUUAGAGUUCUAUAUGCUUCUUAUAUGUUCAUAUGGAUCUCUUUCUUUAGGUUAGGGAAGUUUUCUCCUAUAAUUUUGUUGACAAUAUUUACUGGCCCUUUAAGUUGGGAGUCUUCACUGUCUUCUAUACCUAUUACCCUUAGGUUUAGUUUUCUCAUUGUGUCCUGGAUUUCCUGGAUGUUGUGGGUUAGGAACUUUUUGCAUUUUCUUUGCCUGCCUCUACUCUAAGGAUAAACAGGCUGAGAUGAAAUUAGGGAAAUGACACCCUUCACAAUAGUCACAAAUAAUAUAAAAUACCUUGGUGUGACUUUAACCAAGCAAGUGAAAGAUCUGUAUAAAAAGAACUUCGAUGUUUUCUAUGGUGUGUUCUCUACGUGAGAUUCUUUUAUCUCUUAUAGUCUGCUGGUGAUGCUUGUAUCUUCCCUAUGUUUUCUAUCUCCACGAUUGCCUAUCUCCCUUUGUGAUUUCUUUAUUGUUUUUAUUUCUGUUUUUAGAUCCUGGAUGGUUUUGUUCAAUUCCUCACCUGUUUGGUUGUACAUCUCUAAGGGAAUUUUGUGUUUCCUCUUUAAGGGCUUCUGCCUGUUUACCUGUGCUCUCCUGUAUUUCUCUAAGAGAGUUAUUUAUGUCCACCUUAAAGUCCUCUAUUAUCAUCAUGAGAUGUGAUCCCAAAUCCAAAUCUUGCUUUUCCGGUGUGUCAGGGUACCCACAACUUGCUGUUCUGGGAGAACUCUGUUCUGAUGAUGCCAAGUAGCAUGCUCUGUGGUUCUGUGCCCUGCGGUCUCUUGGCGGAUCUCCCUUUGGCCAGUCACUGGAGCAAAAGUUUGGUCUUACCUAUAUACUUAGAAUUGACAGCACUCCUGGGAAACCAAUUCUCUCUGGGCAGGAUUUUGGUACGGAGAUCUGUGUUGCUGGGUUAGAUCAGGGGAGUACACACACACACACACACACACACACACACACACACACACAC